UACGAGGGGAGCUAGCGUUGUUCGGAUUCACUGGGCUUAAAGGGCGCGUAGGCGGGUGAUCAAGUCAGGGGUGAAAUCUUUCGGCUCAACCGGAAAAGUGCCUUUGAUACUGGUCAUCUCGAGGGAGGUAGGGGCAUGUGGAACUUCCGGUGGAGCGGUGAAAUGCGUAGAUAUCGGAGGGAACGCCGGUGGCGAAAGCGACGUGCUGGACCUUUUCUGACGCUGAGGCGCGAAAGCCAGGGGAGCAAACGGG
rnacentral:rRNA from 1 species